GCGGCCAAAGAGUGUCCCCAUCAGGCGCACGGCUAAAACGAUCAUGUUACACAGCUGUGACGUAAAAACGAUGAAGAUACGUCAGCAACCAUGGCGGAGAAAAUAGAAAUCUUGAAGGAAGGAAACGUAUCGCGUGGCCGGAGCACCAAAUAAUGUUAGCUACAAGAAUAAUACACAUAUACCGGGUAUUUCUAAACACUGCUUUCCAAAAAAUGUAGCUGUAUAGCCAAAAUGGACGCGUUUCGAUCGUCGACAUCGAGGAGAUUUUGCUCUUCAAUGUCGUUUGCCUUAUGCUCCGUACCGGCUUCGAAGACGGCUGUUACGAACACAAACCAAGAGUCAAAUCAGGGAAAGAUAACCAAUGAAUUCUGCUAAAAAGAAUGCUGAUUAAGGGGCCUGUUCCCACACCGUACACCAUAAUUUUCUCUUCGGCUGACAUUUCGCAAGCGAAGAAAGUUUCCAUCGCAUUUUAAUAACGGAAACAAAGUGCAAGCCAAACUCAAGCCCUUUCCUGUGCUGACCGAUAUCCUGUUGCGUGAACAGUGCAAAACCUCUGGCGGAUACUAGCAGAAACACAACCUCUAAGAGGCCGCCGCUGUAUUCUCCUAACCUAGGUUUCCGAAAAUUCAUCCCAAGAGCUCUCAGUUCCCCCUGCCCUCAAGAAAUUAAGAGUAGCCACAGUAACAAUAUCAUUGUGAUAACAGCACUACAACGAGAUAAAUAAAGAAAUUGAAAUUUUA